rnacentral:rRNA from 1 species
UGGGGGAUAUUGCACAAUGGGCGAAAGCCUGAUGCAGCGACGCCGCGUGGGGGAUGAAGGCUUUCGGGUUGUAAACCUCUUUCGCUAUCGAACAAGGCCCGCUUAGGGUGGGUUGAGGGUAGGUGGAGAAGAAGCGCCGGCUAACUACGUGCCAGCAGCCGCGGUAAUACGUAGGGCGCGAGCGUUGUCCGGAAUUAUUGGGCGUAAAGGGCUUGUAGGCGGCUUGUUGCGCCUGCUGUGAAAACGCGGGGCUUAACUUCGCGCGUGCAGUGGGUACGGGCAGGCUUGAGUGUGGUAGGGGUGACUGGAAUUCCAGGUGUAGCGGUGGAAUGCGCAGAUAUCUGGAGGGACACUGAUGGCGAAGGCAGGUCACUGGGCCAUUACUGACGCUGAGGAGCGAAAGCAUGGGUAGCGAACAGG